GACAGAGGAUGCAAGCGUUAUCCGGAAUGAUUGGGCGUAAGCGUCUGUAGGUGGCUUUUUAAGUCCGCCGUCAAAUCCCAGGGCUCAACCCUGGACAGGCGGUGGAAACUACCAAGCUGGAGUACGGUAGGGGCAGAGGGAAUUUCCGGUGGAGCGGUGAAAUGCGUAGAGAUCAGGAGGAACACCGGUGGCGAAGGCGGCCUACUGGGCCAGCACUGACGCUGAGGCGCGAAAGCUCGGGGAGCGAACGGG
rnacentral:rRNA from 1 species